UGCCACUCUUAACGGGGUGGCUUUUCAGAAGUGUAAAAAGCUUCUGGAAUAAGGGCUGGGCAAGACCGGUGCCAGCCGCCGCGGUAACACCGGCAGCUCAAGUGGUAGCCGCUUUUAUUGGGCCUAAAGCGUCCGUAGCCGGUCUGAUAAGUCUCUGGUGAAAUCCCACAGCUUAACUGUGGGAAUUGCUGGAGAUACUAUCAUGACUCGAGGUCGGGAGAGGCUGGAGGUACUCCCAGGGUAGGGGUGAAAUCCUGUAAUCCUGGGAGGACCACCUGUGGCGAAGGCGUCCAGCUGGAACGAACCUGACGGUGAGGGACGAAAGCCAGGGGCGCGAACCGGAUUANAUACCCGGGUAGUCCUGGCCGUAAACGAUGUGGACUUGGUGUUGAGAUGGCUUCGAGCUGCCCCCAGUGCCGAAGGGAAGCUGUUAAGUCCACCGCCUGGGAAGUACGGCCGCA
rnacentral:rRNA from 1 species